GCCACGGUGGUCUAGCGGUUAGAACGCUGGUCUUGUGAUCCUGGGGUCCCGGGUUCGAUUCCCGGCGGUGCCC
rfam:Zootermopsis nevadensis contig20837, whole genome shotgun sequence.